UAAGAGAUGGAAUUUGAACUGAAUUUUAAAGGAUAUGCAGGACUUGAGAGAGAAGUAUGGGAGGAAAUAUCAUUGUGUAGCAGGAGUACUAGCUUUGUGAUCAGAUGGGCCAGGCUAAGAAGAGUGUACAAGUUCUUUACUCUGUGUGUGAUACUGGGGUUCCGAGAAGCGGCAAAGCUAAUGCUCUGAAGGAGGAAAAGAAAUAUGUUGCGAUGUUCUCAAGACGUAUAUCAAAGAUGUUUCAGUCCCCAGGUAUGUGUUUGAAAAUGUGCAGCGCUCUAGUAGCAUUUUGAAGGUGGGGCCAAAGAUGUUAACUAUCUUCCAAUCAUGGGAUAAUCCUCAACAACCAAGAAUUGCGUCAAAGGCUAAAAGCACCGCUGUGGGGAAUCACUGAGUCCUAGUCAACGAUAUUAUAAGGCAAAGGAAAUACAGAGACAGGGAUGUUGAACCAAAUGAUCUUCAUGCUCUCUCAAGUGCACUUUUUUUAUACAUGGAAGUUUGGGCUCAUGUUUUAUACUCUGUUAUGGUUGCCUUGCAGUGGGCAUGAGGAACAUAUCCACUUAGGGAUGACCUAUUAUAUCCCCAUUGACUUCAAUACAGCACCACAAGGCUUCAAUACCAAGAGCACUAGACAAGGUCUGUUUUCACGCUGCUGAUAAAGACAUACCCCGGGCUGGGCACUUUAAAAAAGAAAGAGGUUUAAUGGACUUAGAGUUCCACGUGGCUGGGGAGGCCUCACAAUCAUGGCGGAAGGUGAAAGGCAUGUCUCACGUGGUGGCAGACAAGAGAAGAGAGCUUGCACAGGAAAAUUCCCGUUUUUAAAGCCAUCAGAUCUCGUGAGACUUAUUCACCAUCAGGAGAACAGCACGGGAAAGACCCGCCCCCAUGAUUCCAUUAUCUCCCACAGGGUUCCUCCCACAACACAUGGGAAUUUGGGAGAUACAAGAUGUGAUUUGGGUGGGGAUACAGAGCCAAACCAUAUCACAAGGAUACAGGUCAUUUUAUUAGAAAGGUCAAAAACUGGUCUGAUGUCAAAGGGGCGGUAGAGACGGAAAAAGAGCUCAGGGCUUCUGAUUCUCACUUCAGUUCUAACACUGAAAUGGGAAGUUUGAAAUUUCUUGAAAAUUAGCAAAUAAGUAAUAUAAAUUAGAACAGUAUACGCUUUCUCCUUAAAAACAGCACAAUAUAAAGUGAACGCACAUUUCUCAAUGUGCGUUCACUUUUUAUUGUGCUUUUUUCUGUUUUCAUUCAGAGCUUAAGAACGUGGCCUCUGGAGUCUGACUUCCUGGAACAAAUUCCAGCUCUGCUAUUUCUGUGGUGAAGGCACAAUUUCUUCAUCCGUACCAAGGGGGAAGAAUAGGAUUGUUUUGGGGAUUAUAGAAGAUAAUUUAUAUCAAGCCCUUACCAGUGCCUAGAAUACAGUGAGUCCUCAAAUGUUAGCAUAAGUUUUGUUUAAUGUCUGCCUACGUGCUGAGAUCCUAAUGAAUAAAGCAUGCAUUACAGUACAAUUAUAAGCCU
rnacentral:lncRNA from 1 species